CGUAGGGUGCAAGCGUUAAUCGGAAUUACUGGGCGUAAAGCGUGCGCAGGCGGUUAUGUAAGACAGAGGUGAAAUCCCCGGGCUCAACCUGGGAACUGCCUUUGUGACUGCAUAGCUAGAGUACGGCAGAGGGGGAUGGAAUUCCGCGUGUAGCAGUGAAAUGCGUAGAUAUGCGGAGGAACACCGAUGGCGAAGGCAAUCCCCUGGACCUGUACUGACGCUCAUGCACGAAAGCGUGGGGAGCAAACAGGAUUAGAUACCCUGGUAGUCCACGCCCUAAACGAUGUCAACUGGUUGUUGGGUCUUUACUGACUCAGUAACGAAGCUAACGCGUGAAGUUGACCGCCUGGGGAGUACGGCCGCAAGGUUG
rnacentral:rRNA from 1 species